rnacentral:misc_RNA from 1 species
UUGAAUAAAUUGGUUAGGUUGUUGCUGGUUCCUAGGAGCAUGUGCACGCCUAUGCCUCUUUCAACCACCUGUGCACUCUGUGUAGAUCUUUUGGGUACUUGAGGACUGCCACUUGUGGCCGUUCUCGUAUCUACUAGAUCUAUGUUUUAUAUAUCAUACCCCGAAUGUAUUAGAAGGUUGUCAAAUAGGCCUUACGUGCCAUUAACAAGAUAUAAA